GACUUCUCUCAACCACAUCAUCAUCAUGAAUGUGGCUUGGAUGUGGGGGAUUUUGCAGGCUUCUUUCUCAUAGUAGUCUGCUCCUCUGAAAUGCAUUAGUGGUGUCUGAGCGGCUAUUUGGUGUGAUAAAUUAUCUAUGCCUCUGGUAUGCUGGUCAGCACUGCUCAUAAACAAAAAUGUUAUAUUUGACAA
rnacentral:misc_RNA from 1 species